UGAUCUAAUUAAAAUGAGUUGAGGGUAGAGC
rnacentral:piRNA from 1 species